GACGAACGCUGGCGGCGUGCUUAACACAUGCAAGUCGAACGGAAAGGCCCUGCUUUUGUGGGGUGCUCGAGUGGCGAACGGGUGAGUAACACGUGAGUAACCUGCCCUUGACUUUGGGAUAACUUCAGGAAACUGGGGCUAAUACCGGAUAGGAGCUCCUGCUGCUUUGUGGGGCUUGGAAAGUUUCGGCGGUUGGGGAUGGACUCGCGGCUUAUCAGCUUGUUGGUGGGGUAGUGGCUUACCAAGGCUUUGACGGGUAGCCCGCCUGAGAGGGGGAGCUGAGACAAUGGGAAAGAGAGACGGCCCCGACUCUACCAGGAGGCACAAGAGUAGAAAAUAGCACACAGGGGGGAAAACUGAAGCAGCAAGGCCGCGCGCGGGAUGUCGGGCUUCGGGGUGUAAACCGCUUUCGCCUAUGACGAGGCGUGAGUGAAGGUAAUGGGUAAAGAAGCACCGGCUAACUACGUG
rnacentral:rRNA from 1 species